GACGUCGCAGAUCUGGCGGAAGGUCUUGCGGAACACCGACUGCGCAAUCAGGGCCUCGCGCGAUUGCGGAGUUUCGGCAUAGAUAGGCGCGACGAAGUAGUGGCAUUGCGCCUUCAGCACCUCCGCGAAGCCGCGGACGAUCUCGAAGGUGUUGAUCUCCGAA
rnacentral:sRNA from 1 species